rnacentral:rRNA from 1 species
GCGGCCUAUCAGCUUGUUGGUGAGGUAACGGCUCACCAAGGCUACGACGGGUAACCGGCCUGAGAGGGCGACCGGUCACACUGGGACUGAGACACGGCCCAGACUCCUACGGGAGGCAGCAGUGGGGAAUAUUGCGCAAUGGGCGAAAGCCUGACGCAGCGACGCCGCGUGAGGGAUGAAGGUCUUCGGAUUGUAAACCUCUUUCAGCAGGGACGAAGCGAAAGUGACGGUACCUGCAGAAGAAGCACCGGCUAACUACGUGCCAGCAGCCGCGGUAAUACGUAGGGUGCAAGCGUUGUCCGGAUUUAUUGGGCGUAAAGAGCUCGUAGGCGGUUAGACACGUCGGAUGUGAAAACUCGGGGCUCAACCCCGAGCCUGCAUUCGAUACGGUCUGACUUGAGUGUGGUAGGGGAGACUGGAAUUCCU